rnacentral:misc_RNA from 1 species
GUAUUUGAUUUUGCCUUGCGGCAGAUAAACAUUCAUUAAUCUAAACAAUGAGUUUUGCGAAUUUCAAAGGCAGGUUUUUAUCCCUGCCUUCAAAGUCAAGUGCACAGGUGUAAAUGGGACUAGAGAGCAAGCACAUACAGUCAAGACUGCCAGCAUCAACUCUCCGUAAUUCAUUAAUGAUCCUUCCGCAGGUUCACCUACGGAAA